AUUGAACGCUGGCGGCGUGCUUAACACAUGCAAGUCGAACGAGAACGGAUUAUAGCUUGCUAUAAUUGUCAGCUAAGUGGCGCACGGGUGAGUAAUGUAUAGGUAAUAUGCCUCUUACUAAGGGAUAACAAAUGGAAACGUUUGCUAAUACCUUAUACUCCUUAUUAACAUAAGUUAAUAAGGGAAAGAUUUAUUGGUAAGAGAUUAGCCUGUAUUGUAUCAGUUAGUUGGUGGGGUAAUGGCUUACCAAGACUAUGACACAUAACUGGUUUGAGAGGAUGAUCAGUCACACUGGAACUGAGACACGGUCCAGACUCCUACGGGAGGCAGCAGUGGGGAAUAUUGCACAAUGGACGGAAGUCUGAUGCAGCAACGCCGCGUGGAGGAUGACACAUUUCGGUGCGUAAACUCCUUUUAUAUGAGAAGAUAAUGACGGUAUUAUAUGAAUAAGCACCGGCUAACUCCGUGCCAGCAGCCGCGGUAAUAC
rnacentral:rRNA from 1 species